GAAAUUAUUAUGGAUAAUUAGCUAUAUAUUAAAGAAAAUCUAGUAUGACUAGUUUCUAAGAGAAAUCAGAUAAUAAACGAAGUGAAUUGAAAUAUCUUAGUAACUUUAGGAAAAGAAAUCAAACGAGAUUGUUAUUUGGUGUAAACUAAAUAACAAAAGCCUAGUAACAAAACUUGUUAAAGUAAAAUGGAUUAAAAUCUGUUUGAAUAAAGGGGAACCUUCCUCUAAGGCUAAAUAUAAUAUAUAAGCGAUAGUGAAAAGUACCGUGAGGUAAAAUUUGAAAUAGUAAUUUUAUAAGCAGCUCGAGUGAAAUUUAAAUAAAAAAUAAGAGCGUACCUUUUGCAUAAUGGGUCAGCAAGUUAAUUUUAGAUGCAAGCAAUGAUUUCUUGGUAAAAAGCCAAGAAACUAGCUUAGAUAAACCAAUUAUGAGAAAAUGAUUAAGUAUCUAGAAUUAGACCCGAAGACUAGUGAUCUUACCAUGGUCAGGGUUAUAAAAGCCCGAACGGGUUAUCGUUGUAUAGAUAUCCGAAGAAUUGUGGUAAGUUAGUGAAAGACAAAACUGACUAGUAUAGCUGGUUUUCCGCGAAACCUAUAUGAGUAGGUAAUUUAAUUAACAUCUUAGCAGGUACAGAACUGUGAUCUCGGACAAUAUCAAUUGAUUUUGUCAACAUCGGGGGGUUGUAGUGACUUUACCGGAGAGUAUUUGCACUCGGAAUGGCAAAGAUGAAUGUUAAAUAAUCGGACAUAGUGCGAUAAGGUUGUAUGUCUAAAGGGAAACAGCCCAGAACAAGAGUUAAGGUUCCAAAAUUAUUGUUGAGUGAAAUUAAGGAUGUUUUUUUUUAAUACAAUCAGGAAAUAGGCUUAGAAGCGGCCAUUUUUUGAAGACCUCGUAACAGAGCACUGAUUUAUUUUAGAGAAAAAUUCCGAAAAUUUAACGGAUCUAAAUAAUAUACCAAAACCUUGUACACAUUUUAAUAAAUAUUUAUAUUGUAUAUGUGGGGUAGCGGAACAUUGGAUUAAUAUAUUAUAUUAAUUCUUAUAAGAAUUAAUAAAUUUAAAUAAUUAUUAAUAAUAUUUUAUUAUUUUAUUUUAUUAUUAAUAUUAUUUUAUUUAUAUAAUCCAAGAGAGAAUGCUGACAUGAGUAACGAAAAAGGUUUAACCUCGCCUUAAGCUUAUGGUAUUUUAUUUAAUUUUCGGUGUCUAAAAAUAUUAAUCAAAAGGUAAUUUUGAUGAUAUUUAUAUAUUAAUACUUCUAAGUAAAAAAACAAAACCUUUAAUAAGUAAUAAAGGUUCUGGAAAAUUUUUUUACUUAAUAUAAAUAUAAUAAGUCUUUUAAAUGUUUUUUUUUUGUAUUUAUUAUAUAACUUCUUGUUACAAGUUUUCAAGAUUGUAUAAUUUAAAUACAAUAUAAUAAAAAAAAUUAUAUUUAUAUAAAUUAUUGUAUAUUAAAGGCUGAUAUACAAAUAAGGUUAAUAUAUACCGUACCUAGAUACUAUCACAAGUAAGCAAGUAGAGAAUACAAAGGCGUUUGAGUGAACAAUCAUUAAGGAACUCGGCAAAUUGACUACCGUAACUUCGGGAUAAGGAGGGCCAUUAUUAUUAGUUUAACAUAUCUUAGGAUAUGAUUUAAUUAAACUAAUUUUAAGAGGAAUCAUGAAAUAAUGUUGUACGACUGUUUAAUAAAAACACAGCACUCUGCAAAGAUUAAAUAUCAAAGUAUUGAGUGUGAUGUCUGCCCAAUGUCGGCAGGGUAACGAAUUUACCUUGGUUUUUAACUAAGGUUUUGAAGGAUACCCCGAUUAAUGGCGGCCUUAUCUAUGAGGGUCCUAAGGUAGCGAAAUACCUUGGCCGUUAAAUGCGGUCCUGCAUGAAUGACUUAACGAUACAACAGCUGUCUCGAUGAUUGUCUCAGUGAAAUUG
rfam:Aspergillus kawachii IFO 4308 mitochondrial DNA, complete sequence.